ACGACUUAUGUUGCUCCUCGACUGCUCCGGCUGAAGAAUCUUCCGCCUCCUCUAAAACUCUAAAAGGAUAGGGAUUGUCAAACCGGUUGUUACAUACAUGAUAAUGGAUGACUUGGAAGUGAAGCCUAUGUCUACCAUCUCGACUAUAGCUCUGCUCAACAGCUUUAAUGUUAGAGAAUUUGGUGCCCUUGAAGAGAAGGUUAUUAAUCUAGGCAUGGAUGAGGGUGUGAAAUUGCUCAAGGAUUCAUUGCAAUCAAAGUCAGUUCUUACUAAUAUAAUGUGUUUCUUGGAGGAGUGAAGCCUGAAGAUCAUAGCUCUGCAAAUUAGCUUUCAUACUAGAUCUGACAUUGUUAAGGUUCUCUUAGAGAUGUUUUUAAAGAAUUGGAAUGACUUGUUUUUGGA